AGAAUCAACGCUGGCGGCGUGCCUAACACAUGCAAGUCGCACGAGAAAGGGGAGCAAUCCCUGAGUAAAGUGGCGCACGGGUGAGUAACACGUGAAUAAUCUACCUCCGAGUGGGGAAUAACUGAGAGAAAUCUUAGCUAAUACCGCAUAACACUUACGAGUCAAAGCAGCAAUGCGCUUGGAGAGGAGUUCGCGGCCGAUUAGUUAGUUGGCGGGGUAAUGGCCCACCAAGACGAUGAUCGGUAUCCGGCCUGAGAGGGCGCACGGACACACUGGAACUGAAACACGGUCCAGACUCCUACGGAGGCAGCAGUGGGGAAUUUUGCGCAAUGGGGGAAACCCUGACGCAGCAACGCCGCGUGGAGGAUGAAGCCCCGUUGGGGUGUAAACUCCUUUCGAUCGGGAAGAUAAUGUACGGUACCGAUAUAAGAGCCCCGGCUAACUUCGCGCCAGCAGCCGC
rnacentral:rRNA from 1 species